CCUACGGGAGGCAGCAGUGGGGAAUUUUGGACAAUGGGCGAAAGCCUGAUCCAGCAAUGCCGCGUGAGUGAAGAAGGCCUUCGGGUUGUAAAGCUCUUUUGUCAGGGAAGAAACGGUGAGAGCUAAUAUCUCUUGCUAAUGACGGUACCUGAAGAAUAAGCACCGGCUAACUACGUGCCAGCAGCCGCGGUAAUACGUAGGGUGCAAGCGUUAAUCGGAAUUACUGGGCGUAAAGCGUGCGCAGGCGGUUUUGUAAGUCUGAUGUGAAAUCCCCGGGCUCAACCUGGGAAUUGCAUUGGAGACUGCAAGGCUAGAAUCUGGCAGAGGGGGGUAGAAUUCCACGUGUAGCAGUGAAAUGCGUAGAUAUGUGGAGGAACACCGAUGGCGAAGGCAGCCCCCUGGGUCAAGAUUGACGCUCAUGCACGAAAGCGUGGGGAGCAAACAGGAUUAGAUACCCUGGUAGUCCACGCCCUAAACGAUGUCUACUAGUUGUCGGGUUACUUAAUUGACUUGGUAACGCAGCUAACGCGUGAAGUAGACCGCCGUGGGGAGGUACGGUCGCGAGAGUUAAACGUUAACGAAGUAAGUAGUAGACGGACGUAGAGAGCGACGACGGACGACGACGGAGGGAGGAGG
rnacentral:rRNA from 1 species